UUAUUGGGCGUAAAGCGAGCGCAGAGCGGUUUUUUAAGUCUGAUGUGAAAGCCUUCGGCUUAACCGGAGAAGUGCAUCGGAAACUGGGCAGACUUGAGUGCAGAAGAGGACAGUGGAACUCCAUGUGUACGGUGGAAUGCUAUAUAUAUGGAAGAACACC
rnacentral:rRNA from 1 species